GCCCAGGCCGGACGUCCCGUAGCCCUGGGUGGAGAGGGACGCCGGGGACUGGUUCAGAUGGCUUGUGACCGCGUUUGUGCUCAUCGGACUGAGAGUUGAGCCAGGGCCUGACAACUGGUGGUGCAUGGGAGCGAGAGCCAGCCAGUCUGCUCCCAUCAGCCUCAUACGGGCCUGCACCAAAAUUCACCCACAAUAUUUACAAGGGGAGUUCCCAACCGAGAGACACCGAGCAGCCGAGGACUUAAGCAAGGCACCGGAGCUGCAGUGUGCACGCACCCAGGGAUGAGGAGAAAUUAAGGGGGAGGAAAAAGGCAAAUAGGCCGGUGCUGCUGAUGGAGACUUUCAGCUGACAAGAAGAAGAUGACAGAAGAAAAAUGUGAAGAUUUCGAUCAGAGGAAGCGGCUGAGUGGAUCAUAAUAAAGCUCCGGAUUUCUUUUAACAAGCAAACUGCAGAGGGAAAGUUUUGCUGCCUGCUUUGAGAGGAAAGGAGCAGCAACACGUUCAGGAGUUCGCCAACAAACAAACGGAUGCAAUUAAACGCACUCGCCUUCAGAUCAUCAAUGAGGAGAGCAAAGUCAAGACUGGUGGAAGAGGCGACAAGGACGAAUGUAAGACGGGAGAAGACUCUGCCGCCUCAAGGUUAAACUUGAACUGUGUUCAGAGCCUGACUUCACACAAUCUGGAUACUUCUGCAAACACACAUCACUGGCUGUUUUUUUAUAUUGAGCAUCCUCAUUUUACAACCUGAUAUAACUCUUAAUUGAUGUUGUAUGGUAAUGUUUCCUCUGUUUCUUUCUGCCACCGCACUGUCUUGGAGUGAUUAAAAAAUAAUUUGCAAAUAAAGACUAUCAUUGUCAAACCACCACCCUGCUCUCUCCCUCUCUCCCUCUCCACCUUAGCCAUGAGUAGCCCUCUCCUCUGUGUGCUGAGGUGUCUGCAUGGCGUGGUAAAACCUGCCCUGCAGACCGGACCUCUCAAGUCUUCAAAGGAGGAAGAACUCAAUGUGGGGGAUUUGUUCAGGCUUAUUUGGUAACCUAGGAUUUGAAUUGGAUUCUGGGAGGCAUUCAUAACACAUUUGAAAAUGUUACAUUGUG